UUCGAGACCAACCACACACGCACGCGCCCGCGGCAUCAUUAAAAUAUUGUUUCUAAAACUGCGUGAAAAAUAUUCUCGGAUUAGGUCGAAACUUGGCGUGCGGUCUUAUUUUAAUGUAGGUAGGCCGCCUGCCAAAUUUUGUCGCAGUCGGAGUGCGUUUGAUACCCGAACGGUUGACCGUAUCGGCACCGUCAUCGGUUUAUUUGUCGGACGUUUUUUGGUGUUUAAAAGUCUUGUGCCGGGCCGCAAACCCCUCUCUUCUCUCAGACCAUCAUGCUUACACAGCCCACCUAGCCCAUCAACACCAUACCCACGCCCGGAGCCGUCUGAUCGAGAUCGUACUGAUCGAAAACGGGAAAAAACCCUCAAACC
rnacentral:lncRNA from 1 species